rnacentral:rRNA from 1 species
GACGAACGCUGGCGGCGUGCUUAACACAUGCAAGUCGAACGGAAAGGCCCUGCUUUCAGGGUACUCGAGUUGCGAACGGGUGAGUAACACGUGGGUGAUUUGCCCUCCACUUCGGGAUAAGCCUGGUAAACUGGGUCUAAUACCUGAUAGGAGCCAUUUUUAGUGUGAUGGUUGGAAAGUGUUUUCGGUGUAGGAUGAGCUCUCUGCCUAUCAGCUUGUUGGUGGGGUAAUGUCCUACCAAGGCGGCUACGGGUAGCCGGCCUGGGGGGGUGGACGGCCACACUGGGACUGAGAUACGGCCCAGACUGCGAAGGGAGGCAGAAGUGGGGAAUAUUGAACGAGGGGCGCAAGGCUGAUGCGGCGAGGCCGCGUGGGGGAUGACGGCCUUAGGGUUGUAGACUACUUUCGCUAGGAACGAAGCUUUUUGUGACGGUACCUAGAUAAGAAGCACCGGCUAACUACGUG